rnacentral:tRNA from 1 species
GGCUUCGUGGUCGAAUGGUAAGGAUACUUGCCUCUCACUCUGGAGUUCCGGGAUCGAUCCCCGGUUGAGGAGCUA